rnacentral:rRNA from 1 species
GCGGCGCGCCUAACACAUGCAAGUCGAACGAGCGAGAGAGAGCUUGCUUUCUCGAGCGAGUGGCGAACGGGUGAGUAACGCGUGAGGAACCUGCCUCAAAGAGGGGGACAACAGUUGGAAACGACUGCUAAUACCGCAUAAGCCCACGGUGCCGCAUGGUACAGAGGGAAAAGGAGCAAUCCGCUUUGAGAUGGCCUCGCGUCCGAUUAGCUAGUUGGUGAGGUAACGGCCCACCAAGGCAACGAUCAGUAGCCGGUCUGAGAGGAUGAACGGCCACAUUGGAACUGAGACACGGUCCAAACUCCUACGGGAGGCAGCAGUGGGGAAUAUUGCACAAUGGGGGAAACCCUGAUGCAGCAACGCCGCGUGAGUGAAGAAGUAUUUCGGUAUGUAAAGCUCUAUCAGCAGGGAAGAUAAUGACGGUACCUGACUAAGAAGCACCGGCUAACUACGUGCCAGCAGCCGCGGUAAAACGUAGGGUGCAAGCGUUGUCCGGAAUUACUGGGUGUAAAGGGAGCGCAGGCGGAUUGGCAAGUUGGGAGUGAAAUCUAUGGGCUCAACCCAUAAAUUGCUUUCAAAACUGUCAGUCUUGAGUGGUGUAGAGGUAGGCGGAAUUCCCGGUGUAGCGGUGGAAUGCGUAGAUAUCGGGAGGAACACCAGUGGCGAAGGCGGCCUACUGGGCACUAACUGACGCUGAGGCUCGAAAGCAUGGGUAGCAAACAGG